AUGCUAACCCUAACAUAAACACACACUAAAACACAUUUAAACACACACACUCAGCCACAACUUCACACACCCACACACACUCCACAGACGCACCCUCUCAUCUCUCUCUCUCUCUCUCACGGUCUGUCCGCCGCCGCUGCCGUUCAACGGCGCCGUCGCCGCCGGCGAGCGGCGCGGCUCUCCCUUCUUCGGCAUCUCUCCUCUCCCUGACCCCAGAUCCUCUUUCUAGACUGCCGAGACAAGGCGGCAGACGCAACCACCGCGGUGCGCCGCCGCUGCCCCUGUUCUCCCUCUCCCUCUCCCUCUCUCGGCCUCCGGCGAAGCAACCACCGCGGUGCCGCCGACGUGAAGCAGGUAAACCCUAACUCCCUCUCUACUUUCCUCAUCUUCUUCCCCUUUCAAAUUAAAACUGAAAACUCCUCUCUCUCUCUCUUCCGAUUUGGCUGAAUCGGAGCAACGGCGACGUCACGGCUGUCACGUUACCGCCGCCGCCGACGACGAUGAGCCACCAUGGCUCCGCCGCCGACCGCCGUCGAAAACAGUUUCGCCGCCGCCGCUCCGACGCCGGCGACGUGCCUCCGCGGCAGCCGCCUCCCUGAACCCUUCUCACACACGAAUCAGGGGAUUCAGCCCCGAUUUCAGUCAACACUUAGAAAUAGGCUUUUUACUGAAUUCAUUUUCAAAUAUUGUAAAUGUUCUUCAAUCGAGCAUACUGCACUUAAACAUUCAUUCUUGUAAUUGCAACCCUUCAUUUGUAUAUGUAAAUUCUGUUUAUAAACAGGCUGCAUAUGCACAUAAAAUGGAAUAUGAGAAAUUCGUAUGUGUUGGUGGUU